GNNNCUGCGCUGCUACCAUGCAGUCGACGAUGAUCCUCAGCUUGCUGGGGGGAUUAGUGGCGAACGGGUGAGUAACACGUGAGUAACCUGCCCUUGACUCUGGGAUAAGCCUGGGAAACUGGGUCUAAUACCGGAUACGACCAUCUGGCGCAUGUCAUGGUGGUGGAAAGCUUUUGUGGUUUUGGAUGGACUCGCGGCCUAUCAGCUUGUUGGUGGGGUAAUGGCCUACCAAGGCGACGACGGGUAGCCGGCCUGAGAGGGUGACCGGCCACACUGGGACUGAGACACGGCCCAGACUCCUACGGGAGGCAGCAGUGGGGAAUAUUGCACAAUGGGCGCAAGCCUGAUGCAGCGACGCCGCGUGAGGGAUGACGGCCUUCGGGUUGUAAACCUCUUUCAGUAGGGAAGAAGCGUAAGUGACGGUACCUGCAGAAGAAGCGCCGGCUAACUACGUGCCAGCAGCCGCGGUAAUACGUAGGGCGCAAGCGUUAUCCGGAAUUAUUGGGCGUAAAGAGCUCGUAGGCGGUUUGUCGCGUCUGCUGUGAAAGACCGGGGCUCAACUCCGGUUCUGCAGUGGGUACGGGCAGACUAGAGUGCAGUAGGGGAGACUGGAAUUCCUGGUGUAGCGGUGAAAUGCGCAGAUAUCAGGAGGAACACCGAUGGCGAAGGCAGGUCUCUGGGCUGUAACUGACGCUGAGGAGCGAAAGCAUGGGGAGCGAACAGGAUUAGAUACCCUGGUAGUCCAUGCCGUAAACGUUGGGCACUAGGUGUGGGGGACAUUCCACGUUUUCCGCGCCGUAGCUAACGCAUUAAGUGCCCCGCCUGGGGGAGUACGGCCGCAAGGCUAAAACUCAAAGGAAUUGACGGGGGCCCGCACAAGCGGCGGAGCAUGCGGAUUAAUUCGAUGCAACGCGAAGAACCUUACCAAGGCUUGACAUGAACCGGAAAGACCUGGAAACAGGUGCCCCGCUUGCGGUCGGGUUUACAGGUGGUGCAUGGGUUGUCGUCAGCUCGUGUCGUGAGAUGUUGGGUUAAGUCCCGCAACGAGCGCAACCCUCGUUCUAUGUUGCCAGCGCGUUAUGGGCGGGGACUCAUAGGAGACUGCCGGGGUCAACUCGGGAGGAAGGUGGGGGACGACGUCAAUCAUCAUGCCCCUUAUUGUCUUGGGCUUCACGCCAUGCUUACAUGNCGNUACCAAAGGGNUGCGAUACUNNNGAGGUGANCUAAUUCCCCAAAAAAG
rnacentral:rRNA from 1 species